GUUUAUCCGGUUGAUCCAUCUACUUUGUGCAAGAAUAGAGCGGUGCUUACAAUUGCUUAUCGACCUUUGCAUGUAGAAAAGCUCUUCCAUUGCUAAACGAGGAAAGAAGUAAACACAUGUGGUUGUUAUUGUGGAAUUCCACGGAUGUAUCCUAUAUUAAAUUACAGAUCUUUUUUUGUAGGAUUUGACCCUGAAAAGAACCUUUGGUUGGAAUUGGUUGUCUCGGAAAUAAACUUCUGCCUAUAUGAUCGCCCUGGUUUGAAGUACUACCGAAAGCCUUCUGGCUGCCCGCUCUAAGAUUACAUGGGUAGAGCACAAUGAGAUACUAAUUGAAGGAUUCUCAUGUGUGCGAUUUAAAGAACUAGUAGCAUCUGGUUUUGCGUUUCACGUUGGUUGGUGGAUGACGAUGUUAAAGCACCAAACUGAGAGUGAACACAUAAUCAAGCAACACAUUAACGGUUCGAUUCUGGAUGUUGAUUGGCAGACGAAUCGCACGUUUGCCUCGGGCUCAACUGAUAUGAUGAUAUAUGUUUGCAAGAUCGGGGAAAAUCAUUCAGUCAGAAUAUUUCCUGGACAUAAGUAAGUAGGCACGAGUUGCAGCAAGGCACAAGGCUCUGUGACGGCUUGAGGCGAUGGGUGUAUAGGCGUCAAAAACGGCUGGAGGCACAGGCAUGAGACACGCUCUUGUACAUGGGAAGAUUUUGUGCAUCAUGGCGUCGUACAUAUAACAUUUUGGGCUGUACGUAUAAGUCGUUUAUAUAUUAAUUCAUAUAUAGAUAGUUCUUGGGCACCUGAUGGUAGAAACCUAUUAGAAAUAAAAUAAAACAAAAACUUGUAUAAAUACAUUGCGCCUCACGUAGGUGAUGCGUGCGCUUGUGCGGCCUCACGCUGCGGCCUGGGCCCUAUUGCCUCCAUGCGCCACAUGAAAAAACCUAAAAUUGACAAUCUUAAUCCUUUACUUAUAAUUUUGAAUAUGCACGUAGGUUGCAGCGUUUGUUGUUAAUAAGAUUCUAAAUGAAAAAGACGGUGAUACUGUGGCACGUUCCCAUUUAGGAAGCGCGGCAUGUUUGGCCAAGGUCGUAGACUAGUAUCCCGGAAAACCAUAAUUGUUGUGAUUUUGAAAACCACCAAAGUGACACAGUGGCACAUUCUGACGUAUGAAAGAAACUAACAUAGGUUGUUUAUAACUAUCAAGCAGCAAGUUAACAAAUGAUAAAAUCCAUCCUAUUUAUACCUAUCGAAUUGGUGCGACUAAAGGACAUACCCCUUUGACUUUGGGCAUAACUACCAAGUCAAACGACACCUUAUCAAGACAGUUACAUACUUAGGUUUAUAUAUACCAUUAUUCUAAUAGGUCACAUAUACUAUAAUACACAUGUAAUACUAAUCGUUAUAUCAUGUGCCAAACAUUAGGCUUCCAACAAGAUAGACUCCCUAGUGCGGUCGUGGAUGUUGAUCAGUUUGGACCUAACCACGUAAAUUCUUGUGUCAUUUUUAUUUCAUAUUUUUUAAGUUUGUUUCUGUGCAAUUCAUGUUUGUGGUGCCAAGGAUCAUCGGCAGCUGCAGCUGCUGCUGUGAUCAGUUUACCACCCACUCUGUCAAGGUUGACGACCUGCUGGUCAAUGAAUAUCACACCAGCUAAAAUCAGAGUUGGUGUGAUCUGACUGUAAUCUUCAUUGCUGCACAGCGGAAGUAUUUAAUGCUAAGACUUCUAAGAAAUGAACGCCCACUAAGUACUCGAAUCCCCAUGGUUCUCCUAUUCCAACCGUGCCAUAAUUUUGAAAAU